rnacentral:lncRNA from 1 species
CCCACCGCCGGCUCCUCCCUCUUCAGCCUCAGCAACCUUCGCAACGAGGAACAAACCAUCAGAGGUUAAACAGGUAGAAAGAAACUCCAACCUUGUAAAAUCCUUUGAUAGCAAGUUCUGUUGUGGCUGAUAUUCUUGCGAUCUGUGCUCUCAGAUAGUUCUCCUCGAGUCCAGGGAACACUGGAAACGCCGAAACUUCAGCCUGGAAGCGUCACGGCGGAGUUUUCUCAAGAGCUCAUGAAAUCCAAGUAAGCAAUUUUGCGAACUCUACAAUAUACCUUCAAGUCUCCAGUCAAGAACUUUUUUAUCUGCCUCGCGGUCUUGAUUUGCAGCGGCGUCACGUCUGGAAGCCUGUAAAACUCGGCGCCUGGCCGGCUACAAACCCAGUACGUGUGCCCAUUCG